rnacentral:rRNA from 1 species
AUACGGAGGGUGCAAGCGUUGUCCGGAUUUAUUGGGUUUAAAGGGUGCGUAGGCGGAUCUUUAAGUCAGUGGUGAAAUCCUGCAGCUUAACUGUAGAACUGCCAUUGAUACUGGAGAUCUUGAGUAUACUAGAAGUAGGCGGAAUUUAUGGUGUAGCGGUGAAAUGCAUAGAUACCAUAAAGAACACCGAUAGCGUAGGCAGCUUACUGGAGUAUAACUGACGCUGAGGCACGAAAGCAUGGGUAGCGAACAGGAUUAGAAACCCCAGUAGUCC